GUUUAUGUGUAAAUAAUGGAGUCGUGAUUCACAUAGUUUCUGGUUGUUGAUGUAUUCUGCAAGAGAUAAGAUGUGAUUUCCUCUUUUAAUCUCCUGAAUACUGCAUAUACUAUUCAAGUGAACAAAAUGUGGGAUGAUGAUGUUCACUUGAAGCAUCAAACUCUGCUUCGAGACUUGAAGUCAACUGUUGAGGGUCUCUUGAGCAGUCAGGUGGCUAAUGUAUGGUACAUAUAUGGUGGUCUCAAUAGGCUUCAUGUAGAUGUUGUGAAGAUCUUCAAACAUGGUUGCACAAUUACACAGACAGGGAAUGAGUCGGAUUAUUGGAGAUUUAUUAAAGGUCUGCAAUGGCUUCAACCGAACACAUCAAACUCUUCAUUCAGUAUUGAUUGCGAGUACAGAAGUCAUUUGCCACAUACAAUCAAAGAGGAUAGAGCAUCAACUUGGCUGUACAGGUGUCUUGAGAAUCAUUCGUUAUCACAGAAACUAUCAUGGCUUCUCUCAGAUCAAUCCCAUUUGCUCUCUUGUUACCACAGUAAAGCGUUUUUAUGUCAGAAGGAUUACGCUGAAGCCACUUUGAUAUGUCUGAGGGCUGUGGAGCGCAACCAGCCCUCUCUCAUAUCCGAAAUUAAGCCACAUUUAUUUCUGCUACCGUCCAAAGAAUACCACAGGAACCACCGAAGAUGUUCGUCGUUCCCUGACGCACAUCUGCGAGACAACUCGACGCGAAAGACAUACCAAAGUUUCGAUUUAACACUACCCAAGUGCGACGAAAUCAAGACCAAAGAUACGCAGAGGAUUGUGGUGAAGUUGAGGACAUGGAAAAGUUUGCCUGAUAUGCAUAGAAGCAGUGUUAAAAUAGCCACCAGGGUCAGACAUAACACGGAAUGCCGGUCAUCGCCUGUAACGCCUAUUAGAAUCAUUGGCAACGAGAAAGUUUCCCCUAGUCUUCUAAAAGUGGAUUACGAUUCUUUGCAGAAGAAAGUACCGAAGAAAUCGACGCUAAAACGACCGAACAAGACGCAAAAAUCCAAAAGGGUUUUAAUUGAUAAUUGUAAUAUAAUUGAGCACACUCAAAGCGCACCGAAAGCCGUUACGAAAACAAAAGUAUCGUCGUCUGCACCGGAGUACAGUUUUUUGAGCUUCGUGAGUGGCGAGAAAGACUAUACGAAGAAACCGAAGAAGACUUUCAUUGAAGAUGGUGGCAUGAGUGUUCUACCAAUGGCAACUGGUUUUUUUCCGAGACCUUUGAAGGGUCAAAGUUUGACAUCGUUCCUGAUGUCCAGUCAGUUUACCAGAGCUAACGCUGAAUUGGACCGCGAGAACGCACACUUCAACAUCUCUGAAGCGGUUAUUUCUGCGAUGGAACAGAUCAAAUGCGGCAAAGUUUGCUCCGAUGAGCAUCAGGAGGAAAGUGACGAAGAAAUUAAUCAGCUGAAGCAACGCAUCCGGUUAAGACGACGAAUGAAAAUUGUCGAAGAACAAAAGCAAACCAGCUGGGGCGGAUCUUCAUUGCUAAGCGAUGGAAAAACAGACACUACAACUGAAGCUAGUCCAGCAUCGAUGUCUUCAUCAACGGACACGUAUUCCGGAAGCAUUUCUUCGGAAGAGAAUGUGUUCGAUUUGGAAAUUGACAAAGCGUCGAAUUUAUCUGAUAUUAUGGAGCUGUCUAUGUCCAUGGCUUCGCUGUAUUCCGAAGCGGAUAUUAUGAAACGUACCAGAGAGGCGCCCGAUGGAGCAUCCGAUGCGCUUUCCGCCGAAGGAGUUGCGUUGACUUUGAUAAGCAAGUUUAGCGAAAAGCAGCUUCCGAGGGCUUCCGAUCUGGUAUGGUUGGUCUCCGAGGAGGAUGCGCCUCAGGCUCUGCUACCUCUUCCGAAAAGUUGGCCUGUGAGUCCGGACGAUUGCGAUGAGCUUGUUACAUCUUUAAGGGGAACCAUGGAAUGGGCGCCUCCGAGACCUCAGGUUAUCUUCACUUUGCAUCCAAUUGUUUCGAGGAAUGAUUUGAUUGCAAAACAGAAUUAUCGGUGCGCCGGAUGCGGUAUGCGCGUUGCCAAACAGUAUGCUUCCAAGUUUCGGUACUGCAACUACCUGGGGCGGUUCUUCUGCACAGGUUGCCAUAGUAACCAGCUCUCUAUAAUCCCAGCAAGGAUAAUCCAAAAUUGGAAUUUUAAACGAUUCAUUGUUUCGAAUUUCUCGUACCGCCUUUUGGAGCAGAUGUACACGGAUCCGCUGUUCAGAGUUUUCGAACUGAAUCGUAAGCUCAUGAACAACAAGGCCAUGAAGACUUGUCGAAUGUUCAGAGAAGGUCUGAGCUACCUGAAGGAUUUCAUAUUGACCUGCAGAUUUGCCGAUACUAUACAAGAUUACCUGAAGAACGAACGAAGUUAUUUGCUGAGUGACCCAGACGUUUACUCGAUGGAGGAUCUAGUCAAAGUAAAGACGGGUGAAAUGCGGGUUAAAUUUAAAUUCAUCGCCGAGAUGUGCUCCAAACAUGUCUACGAAUGCCAACUGUGUCUGGCCCGUGGAUUCAUCUGCGAAAUAUGCAAGAAAAACGAUCUUCUUUUCCCGUGGAGGAUGGGAUCAGUGUCCAGAUGCAAGAAGUGCGGAUGCUGUUUCCACAUAACUUGCUGGAAGGAAUCCGACGACUUACCGUGUCGGCGAUGCACAAGAUUACGAUGAGGACGAACGACAUCAGAAAGCAACAUGCAUCUCUACGGUGGCCUCCUCUUCGUCGGAAUGUGCUUCGUCCUGUUCUGCAUCACGAAUGCAAUUCCAGUUUACACACAACCGAGAGGACUCUUCUUGACUAAUGAUCAGGAAAGACUUCUGGUUGAUACCGGAAGGGAAGCCAUCAGAGAUGCAACCGACUUCGCCGGUGGAGUUGUUGGACUCGCCGGAAAAUACGGCACAGCCGCAUACAAUUUUAUAGUCUAAUACAGUUAAUGCAAGUCAGAAAUUAGUUUAGAUUCGUUUUUGCUUCUUCUGGUCGAAUUCUUGUAUUC